GUUUUAUGAUGACUGCUUAUCACUUCUACUGAGAAUCAACAAUGAAAUUUAAAAGUACCUUUUUAACACUGAAAUAUA
rnacentral:snoRNA from 1 species